rnacentral:rRNA from 1 species
UACCAGCACCCCGAGUGGUCGGGACGAUUAUUGGGCCUAAAGCAUCCGUAGCCGGUUUUACAAGUCCUCCGUUAAAUCCAGCUGCUUAACAGAUGGGCUGCGGAGGAUACUAUAAGACUAGGAGGCAGGAGAGGCAAGCGGUACUCAGUGGGUAGGGGUAAAAUCCGUUGAUCCAUCGAAGACCACCAGUGGCGAAGGCGGCUUGCCAGAAUGCGCUCGACGGUGAGGGAUGAAAGCUGGGGGAGCAAACCGG